UACGGAGGGUGCAAGCGUUAAUCGGAUUUAUUGGGCGUAAAGGGCGCGUAGGCGGGGACGUAAGUCGGAUGUGAAAUCCCGGAGCUUAACUCCGGAACUGCAUUCGAAACUGCGUCCCUAGAGGAUGGACGGAGAGGGCGGAAUUCCACAAGUAGCGGUGAAAUGCGUAGAUAUGUGGAAGAACACCUGUGGCGAAAGCGGCCUUCUAGUUUAUUGCUGACGCUGAGGCGCGAAAUCAAUGGGAGCAAACAGU
rnacentral:rRNA from 1 species